GAUGAACGCUGGCGGCGUGCCUAAUACAUGCAAGUCGAGCGAACGGACGAGAAGCUUGCUUCUCUGAUGUUAGCGGCGGACGGGUGAGUAACACGUGGAUAACCUACCUAUAAGACUGGGAUAACUUCGGGAAACCGGAGCUAAUACCGGAUAAUAUUUUGAACCGCAUGGUUCAAAAGUGAAAGACGGUCUUGCUGUCACUUAUAGAUGGAUCCGCGCUGCAUUAGCUAGUUGGUAAGGUAACGGCUUACCAAGGCAACGAUGCAUAGCCGACCUGAGAGGGGGUAGGCCCCCACUGAACUGAGACACGGUCCAGACUCCUACGGGAGGCAGCAGUAGGGAAUCUUCCGCAAUGGGCGAAAGCCUGACGGAGCAACGCCGCGUGAGUGAUGAAGGUCUUCGGAUCGUAAAACUCUGUUAUUAGGGAAGAACAUAUGUGUAAGUAACUGUGCACAUCUUGACGGUACCUAAUCAGAAAGCCACGGCUAACUACGUG
rnacentral:rRNA from 1 species